rnacentral:rRNA from 1 species
ACUCAAAGGAAUUGACGGGGGCCCGCACAAGCAGCGGAGCGUGUGGUUUAAUUCGACGCUACGCGAAGAACCUUACCUGGGCUUGACAUGCUGGUGGUACUGAUCCGAAAGGUGAGGGACCCUUCGGGGAGCCAGCACAGGUGCUGCAUGGUUGUCGUCAGCUCGUGCCGUGAGGUGUUGGGUUAAGUCCCGCAACGAGCGCAACCCCUGUCGUUAGUUGUACUUUUCUAACGAGACUGCUGGGAGAAACCCAGAGGAAGGCGGGGAUGAAGUCAAAUCAGCACGGCCCUUACGUCCAGGGCUACACACACGCUACAAUGGGCAGUACAGACGGUCGCAAAGCCGCGAGGUGGAGCUAAUCCGACAAAGCUGUCCUCAGUUCAGAUUGCAGGCUGAAACUCGCCUGCAUGAAGGCGGAGUUGCUAGUAACCGCAGGUCAGCAUUACUGCGGUGAAUACGUUCCCGGGCCUUGUACACACCGCCCGU